CUUCCUGAAAUUAAAAAAAAAAAAAAAAACAUAUAUCGAUCAAAGGAGGUAACAACAGUUGGAUAAAAUCAAACUUAAUACACAAAACAACUUGACAGUCAAGCAAUCCAAAUCUAAAACCUUUUAAUGAGCAUUUUUUGAUGGUGGCAUAAACAAAAAGAAGAAGGUUCAUGUGUUUGAGAUUAACUUACAAUAUGAGAGGGAGACAGUUUGGACCUAAGUGUCGAUUCCACCUGCUCUUUAGAAACCCCCAUGAUUCGCUCGCUAGCUCUCAGUUGAAGCUUGUUGACGACGCGAUCAAAACUUGCUGCAACAGCACCAUAAGGCAAAUUUGAGAAGUCAAGAUUUGUAACUUCUCAAAUAGCAAAAGGACUUUUGGAGAUUUUAUGACCAUUACACCCUUCACAUGCCCCUCCAAGCAUCUGCCGCCAUCUUCAACAGCAUUAAACUCACUUUCAACAUAUCUUCAAUUCAGCAUUUAUAAACUCUGUCCCUCCAAACAUCUGCCGCCAGCAUUAACUCAUGAUUGGCUUCUUCAUAAUCGGCUUCAAUUUAGCAUGAUGCCUCCGUCAACAGAUCUUCAAUUCACUUUCAACAGAUCUUCAUAAUCGCUUUCAACAGAUCUUCAUAAUCGGCUUCUUUCAAUUCAACAUUAACUCAUGCCUCCUACCCCAUUAAUUUUGCAUUGACAUGUUACAACUAAUCUACAUUAAAAUCCUACCCUAUUCCUCCAUCUGACUUCCAAUAAAACCCCAUUACUCCCCAUCCCCAGCUUGCAAUUCCGAAGAGAGUUCUUGGUCCAGUGAAAGGAGGAAUUUCGUCCGGUGAUAUUGUUAAUCUCUGUUUCUUGGUCCGGCGGGGUUUACAAUUCCGAAGAGAGUUCUCAGUACUAUUGAUUUGACGAUUUAGAAGUCAUUAUACAUGGGUAACAUCUGUUCCAUUCUAUGUUCUUUGCUUUUAUUUGUUUCAGCAGGUGUGUUCUGUUUUUUUUUCAUAUAGAAAUUGUGCAAUAACUGAGAUGAAAUGGAUGAUGAUUCUUCA